GAUGAACGCUAGCGGCAGGCCUAAUACAUGCAAGACGAACGGUAAGUUGAGUAGCAAUACUUGACCUAGAGUGUCGUACGGGUGCGUAACACGUAUGCAACCUACCCAUAACAGGAGGAUAGCUCCCCGAAAGGGGAAUUAACCCUCCAUAGUAAUAUUGAAUGGCAUCAUUUGGUAUUUAAAACUCCGGUGGUUAUGGAUGGGCAUGCGUCUGAUUAGUUAGUUGGCGGGGUAACGGCCCACCAAGGCGAUGAUCAGUAGGGGAACUGAGAGGUUGAUCCCCCACACUGGCACUGAGACACGGGCCAGACUCCUACGGGAGGCAGCAGUAGGGAAUAUUGGUCAAUGGAUGGAAGUCUGAACCAGCCAUGCCGCGUGCAGGAAGAAGGCCUUAUGGGUUGUAAACUGCUUUUGCCAGGGGAUAAAAUAGCUGUGCGCAGCGAAUUGCAGGUACCUGGUGAAUAAGCCACGGCUAACUACGUGCCAGCAGCCGCGGUAAUACGUAGGUGGCAAGCGUUGUCCGGAUUUAUUGGGUUUAAAGGGUGCGUAGGCGGCCCUGUAAGUCAGUGGUGAAAUACUCCAGCUUAACUGGAGGGGUGCCAUUGAUACUGCAGGGCUUGAGUGGAGUAGAAGUAGGCGGAAUUGACGGUGUAGCGGUGAAAUGCUUAGAUAUCGUCAAGAACACCGAUAGUGAAGACAGCUUACUAUGCUUCAACUGACGCUGAGGCACGAAAGUGUGGGGAUCAAACAGGAUUAGAUACCCUGGUAGUCCACACUGUAAACGUUGAUGACUCGCUGUUGGCGAUACACAGCCAGCGGCCAAGCGCAAGCGAUAAGUCAUCCACCUGGGGAGUACGCCGGCAACGGUG
rnacentral:rRNA from 1 species